rnacentral:misc_RNA from 1 species
UCUCCGUAGGUGAACCUGCGGAGGGAUCAUUACUGAGUGAGGGCUCACGCCCGACCUCCAACCCUUUGUGAACACAUCUUGUUGCUUCGGGGGCGACCCUGCCGGCACUUCGUCGCCGGGCGCCCCCGGAGGUCUCCAAACACUGCAUCUCUGCGUCGCAGUUUAAAACAAAUUAAACAAAACUUUCAACAACGUAUCUCUUGGUUCUGGCAUCGAUGAAGAGCGCAGC